rnacentral:rRNA from 1 species
CGAGUUUGAUCAUGGCUCAGGAUGAACGCUAGCGGCAGGCUUAACACAUGCAAGUCGAGGGGCAGCGCGAUGUAGCAAUACAUUGGCGGCGACCGGCGCACGGGUGCGUAACACGUAUGGAACUUACCCUUUACUGGGAGAUAGCCCGGAGAAAUCCGGAUUAAUAUCCCAUAAUAAACGAAGUGGCAUCACUUUGUUUGAAAGCUCCGGCGGUAAAGGAUGGCCAUGCGCACGAUUAGCUAGUAGGUGAGGUAACGGCUCACCUAGGCUACGAUCGUUAGGGGGCCUGAGAGGGUUAUCCCCCCACACUGGUACUGAGACACGGACCAGACUCCUACGGGAGGCAGCAGUGAGGAAUAUUGCGCAAUGGAGGCAACUCUGACGCAGCCAUGCCGCGUGCAGGAAGAAGGCGCUACGCGUUGUAAACUGCUUUUAACCGGGAGAAACCCUCCGACGUGUCGGAGGUUGACGGUACCGGAGGAAUAAGCACCGGCUAACUUCGUG